rnacentral:rRNA from 1 species
GUCCACGCCGUAAACGAUGGGCACUAGGCGCUUGGGGGAGCGACCCCCCGAGGGCCGGCGCUAACGCAUUAAGUGCCCCGCCUGGGGAGUACGGCCGCAAGGCUGAAACUCAAAGGAAUUGACGGGGCCCGCACAAGCGGUGGAGCAUGUGGUUUAAUUCGACGCAACGCGAAGAACCUUACCUAGGCUUGACAUACACGGGAAACCCUCGAGAAACCGGGGCCCUCUUCGGAGCCCGUGCACAGGUGCUGCAUGGCUGUCGU